CAAUACAAAUUUGCACACCCUAUCCGUGUCCAUGAACCUAAUCCUUUUUUAAGCCCAGCUUAAACUCCGGAAAAAUAAAGAAGUCCAACAGAAAAUUUUGGCCUUUAAUCUCAAAAAUAAAAAGCCCAUAAAUCAAUUUUUGAAAAAUCAUAAAUAAAAAAAGGGCCAAAUAAAACCUAAGAAUUUGCAGCUGUUUAGCCUCUAAAAUCUCUCACUAUCCUUCUUCACUCUCCAAACCCAAAGGAAAAAGGCUGCCUUUGCUUCACACACACAAAAUCUGCCGCUAUGUAGCCUUCACGAUCUGCCAUCGUAGCCGCCGCUUGAUCUACCGCGCUUGAUCUGAGAAAGAUGCUGAACGUGAUAUGUGAUGGUUGCUAGCUAUGUGAGUGGGUCAAUACAUUAUCACUAAAGGAAAAUAAAAAUAUAAAACAUUCAAAGAAUUGUAAACUUAUUAAUUAAAGAAUUGCAAAAAAAUCACUUAACAACAACAAUUAAUAUGUUAUAGUGUAUUAGAAAAAAAUAUGUCAAAUAAACUUAUAUAGUUUGUUUUUUAUUUU